ensembl:lncRNA
ACCUUCUUAACAUGAAAAGUAAGUCCUCACAUUUGAUUACAGCAGUAGUAGGAAGUGUGUGAUCAAACAUUUACAUGACUCUACCUCUUGGUUACAUAAAAGAAAAUGAAUGUAAUUUUCACCUACGUACUUUUAUCUUUUCAUGAGUGGAACCUCUUGUAAACCAAAUAAGCCAGAAGACAAACUGCAACAUACUAAGGUGAGAGAGAAAAAUAACCUCAGUAUUUUCAGAGUAAUGUGUUAAAUUUGAAUACAUUUAAAACUUAGUGAUACAUAUAAUUAGUGCUGGUUUCCAUGGUUACAGAGUCAAAGAUACAGAAGUUGCAGCUCUAUUUCUUGCUAUUGAAAAACCCACUUAAAUCAGAAAUGGAAUGGAUCCAGGUGGCAAAUAUUCAUAUGCUGGAAUUGGCACCACCCAUCUUGUGUCCAAUCUGUUAGGCCAGCUCCAGUAAGUUAAAAUGAGUCAAGAUUUGUGAUUGCUAAUUAAUGUAUUUACUAAGUCAGGAGGUAAAUAUCACUGAAGAGGAAAGAAGCAGCAUUGUACGCCUCUAAAAUGGCUCCCAUGAGAGAGAUACUGCCAUUAUUUCUAGCUAUGUCUUCAUCUUUGGCUAUAUAAUUGUCAAAUGAAUAAAUGGCAAGCUGAUAAAGGUUCUUAGCGGUUGGAUCCUUUGGAUUCUGGCUCACUUAGGGUAGGGCUGAGUCUUGCUGGGGGAUUUCCAUUCCAGUUGCUCUUAAUUGUAGAAUCAUAGAAUCCUUAGAGUUGAAAGGGACCUCUAAAGGUCAUCUGGUCCAGCUCCCCAGCAAUGAACAGGGACACCACAGCUAGAUCAGGUUGCCCAGGUCCUGAUCCAGUCUCACCUUGAAAGUCUCCUGGGAUGGGGCAUCAGCCACAUCUCUAGGCAACCUGUUGCAGAGCCUCACCACCCUAACUGUAAAAGAUUUUUUCCUGUUAUCCAAUCUAAAUCUCCCCUCCUUAAGCUUGAAGCCAUUUCCCCUUGUUCUAUUACCACAGACCCUGCUAUCUCUUGUUAAUCUGAUAUCUCUUGUUAAUUUGUUUGGAUUUUCGUCUCCUGCUUGUUUUAUUCUGCUGAUGUGCCUUCUCUAAAAUUGAUGGGUGGCCCUUCAAAGAAAGGGAUGUUUUUUUCUCCCUUUGUUUGUUUCUAGUGGAGUGAAAGUUUCGAAUGUAUGACAUAGUGGAUUACUUGAGAGACUGUUUCAAUAAAAUAAAUACGUCU